AGAACGAACGCUGGCGGCAUGCCUAAUACAUGCAAGUCGAACGAACACUUCGGUGUUAGUGGCGCACGGGUGCGUAACGCGUGGGAAUCUGCCCUUGGGUUCGGAAUAACAGUUGGAAACGACUGCUAAUACCGGAUGAUAUCGAAAGAUCAAAGAUUUAUCGCCCAGGGAUGAGCCCGCGUAGGAUUAGCUAGUUGGUGAGGUAAAGGCUCACCAAGGCGACGAUCCUUAGCUGGUCUGAGAGGAUGAUCAGCCACACUGGGACUGAGACACGGCCCAGACUCCUACGGGAGGCAGCAGUAGGGAAUAUUGGACAAUGGGCGCAAGCCUGAUCCAGCAAUGCCGCGUGAGUGAUGAAGGCCUUAGGGUUGUAAAGCUCUUUUACCCGAGAUGACAAUGACAGUAUCGGAGAACAAGCCCGGCUAACUCCGCGCCGAGCACGCCGC
rnacentral:rRNA from 1 species